rnacentral:misc_RNA from 1 species
GAUGAAGAACGCAGCGAAAUGCGAUAAGUAAUGUGAAUUGCAGAAUUCAGUGAAUCAUCGAAUCUUUGAACGCACAUUGCGCCCCCCAGUAUUCUGGCGGGCAUGCCUGUUCGAGCGUCAUUUCAACCAUCAAGCCCUGCUUGUGUUGGGGUCCUGGGGCUGCCCGCAGGCCCUGAAAACCAGUGGCGGGCUCGCUAGUCACACCGAGCGCAGUAGCACAUCUCGCUCAGGGCGUGCGGCGGGCUCCAGCCGUUAAAGCACCCACCUUUCGCAAGGUUGACCUCGGAUCAGGUAGGAAUACCCGCUGAACUUAAGCAUAUCAAUAAGCGGAGGA